CAGAGGGGGCCUCUCUCGGCCGCUGCUGCCGCCAUUUUACGGGCCGACACCGGCCGCCCCCAUCCGUCUCCAUCCGCCGCCAGCGCCGCCGCCCGCCCGCCGGGACUGAGCGCGGCGUCUCCGCACAGCCAUGAGGGCCAAGUGGCGCAAGAAGCGAAUGCGCAGGCUGAAGCGCAAGAGGAGGAAGAUGAGGCAGAGGUCCAAGUAGGCCCCGCCGCGGAGCUGAGCCAGGGCCGGGGCGCGGGGCCGCCGCCGGGGAGACAGCCCGGUGCCCCGGAGAGGGCCCGGUGCAGCGGGAGGGGGAACCCGCUGCGCCGGGUCGGAUCUGUGCUCUGUGGUGGCCGUUGUGCCGCGAAUAAAGCUGGUGUUGUCAGGA